UCUAUUUGGGUGACUUCUGCAUUUGACUGAAGGAGAAAUGGCUGGAUCCACUGGCUGAGAUCUGUAAAGACAGCUAGUCAGACAUACAGAGGAAUACAAAUAAAUUGUCCCCUGAAGAAGAAGAGCAACAGGCAUACAC
rnacentral:lncRNA from 1 species